AAGUCGGAAUUGCUAGUAAUGGCAGGUCAGCAUACUGCCGUGAAUACGUUCCCGGGCCUUGUACACACCGCCCGUCACACCAUGAGAGUUAGGAAUACCCGAAGCCUGUGAGCCAACUUUAUAAGAGGCAGCAGUCGAAGGUAGAACUAAUGAUUGGGGUGAAGUCGUAACAAGGUACC
rnacentral:rRNA from 1 species